rnacentral:tRNA from 1 species
AAUGUAAAGUCUGAUGAAAGAGUCAUUUUGAUAGAAUGAAAUAUGUGAAAAUUUCACUUACAUUA